GCCCCCAUGGUCUAGUGGUCAAGGACGCCCGGUUCUCAUCCGGGAGGGCGCCGGUUCGAGCCCGGCUGGGGGUA
rnacentral:tRNA from 1 species